rnacentral:rRNA from 1 species
AUUGAACGCUGGCGGCACGCCUAACACAUGCAAGUCGAGCGGCAGCGAGACUAGUAGCAAUACUAGUUGUCGGCGAGCGGCGGACGGGUGAGUAACACGUAGGAAUCUGCCCUUAAGCGGGGGAUAACCAAGGGAAACUUUGGCUAAUACCGCAUAAUCUCGAGAGAGCAAAGCUGCCCGCAAGGGUGGCACUUGAGGAGGAGCCUGCGUCCGAUUAGCUAGUUGGUGGGGUAAUGGCCUACCAAGGGGAUGAUCGGUAACUGGUCUGAGGGGACGACCAGUCACAACGGGACUGAGACACGGACCAGACGCCUACGGGAGGCAGCAGUGGGGAAUAUUGGAAGAUGGGGGCAACCCUGAUCCAGCGAUGCCGCGUGAGUGAAGAAGGCCUUCGGGUCGUAAAGCUCUUUAGGUUGGGAAGAAGGGUAUUGGCUGAAUAAUCCAGUACUUUGACGGUACCGACAGAAUAAGCACCGGCAAACUCUGUGCCAGCCGCCGCAGUAAAAC